rnacentral:lncRNA from 1 species
GCCUGGUCGGAAUCCAAAUUGGUUAUCAAUUAAUUUUUCCUCAUCUUCUGACCACGCCAGUAAGCGACUUGUUAAUAUAGACGUAAAUAGUUUAGAUAAGACACUUACUAAUAUAAUAGGUCUAUAGUUGUUUGGGUCCGUUAAAUCACCACUUUUCGGAACUGCAAUAACAAGUCCUUCUGUCCAGAGUUCAGGAAAAAUCCCAUUUUCAAAU